GACCCUCCCUAAAUGCAGAGCUAAUUGCAAUAAUUAACACUUUGGCCAUGGCACCUAGUCACCAAUUUCUAUGACAUUCAUUUUUUUCCUCAGUCUCUGGACCCACCUUCUUGGCAAAUCUGAUUUGUCUUCUUGAGUUCAUUUUCUCCCAUUCCUUGCUUAUCUCUUGUCUUUUCAUACUCAUGAUGGUAAGUUGAUGAUACUUCCCGGCUACCUUCCUUGAACCCCUUGAUUCUUUCUCAAAGGCCACUUUCAUCUCUUGAUAUAACGCAAAAUGCAUGAGGUAAGGAUCUGAAAACUUGCAUUUAAUAUUGACCUGAGAAAGGAUCGCAAAACAUGAAUGUAAUGCAAGGUCACUUGAUGUAAGGGAUAAUUUGAUAACUGCUUACACUUUACACAAUGUUAAAUAGUUUUGCUUCAGAAAUUAAUUUUGAAAAAUUAAAAUUUAUGCCAAAAAUAAUAAUUUUUAGACCUUUAGACUUGUAGAUCUACCCAUAUUCCAUAGUAUAUCUGGAAAUCAACCUAAGCAUAUGUCAUUUUUUAACAGUUUUAGUUUUGGAUUUCAGUGUUUUUUGGAGGGAUUUUAGGUGGGCACAUUCCUUACCAAUUCAUGCUUAUGCACUAUCAGUUGUAAAUCAACUGGAAUCAUAUAAUAAAACUUGCAUUUAACCUAAAUUCACAAAAAAAAUGUAAUUUUUUUUACAAAGAAAAGGGGAAAUAAUGUUGAGAGUUAUUUGUUUAGGUGCUUCCUUUUCUUUCUGAGGGGGAGGGGAAUCUGGUGAUGAUUUGACUUGAUUUUUUGAAUAUCACCUUUUAGCACCAUGUUUAGAUGAGCUUGUUCCUCUACAAAGCAAAGAACAAGCUUCUCACCUCCCUCCUUGGUGAGAUAGUGGGAGGAAAUUGAACUUUGGAACAUGGAAUCAGGACCUAAUUUGUCUCGAUCAUCUUGAAUUGGCUGGUGAGAGUUGGGGCCUGGGAUACCUAUAGGACCUUGGGUCCAUAUGUACUAGCACAUCAUCGUUUGUAAUGUUUGGGACCAACUAGGCUGGUGGCUAAUUUUGCUGGGAACAAUCCGGCCAAAGCUUCUAGCAAACAAAAGAGGGCCCAAGGCUUGGUUGCACGAGAGAGGAAGAGGAGACAAGGGCAGAGGGAGAGCUCAGGGCCCUUCUUUUUGUUAUUCUCAAAGCAUUGGUGUUGAUAUCAAUAUUGGUGGCAUUAAGCCAACAUGGGUGCUAAAUAGCUUUCCUAAUGCUAAAAUAUAACAAAUAAAAUAUAAGAUCCUUCUAGACAUUCACUAAAAAUGACAAACAACACAGAAAAGAAAGAAAAAGAUAGCAUCCCGGUGAUUCACUAUAAAGCCAAGCCAUCCCAACUUGACCCUAGACUUGGGAAUGAGACUUAAAACCUUGUUGUAUAAUCCUUUUGAGUCAUUGUUGGUUGGUACUAGCUCAUGCUAAAAAUAUGGAACCAACUUGAUCGAAUACAUACAGGGAUCAACCAGCUUAGUCAAUACCUAGGAUGCAUUAGUGCAUCAUGGCCCCAUACACAUCUAGGCCUAUAAGGCACAUACUACUAGCACAAAAAAGCCAUGCUAGCUAGUGUAUGUCAAAUCAAGGUCAAGAGACUGGGGAAUUAUUAGGAACUUAAUGAUUCUGGUGGCUUGCUAUCCUACAAAAAAAGGGGGAUAGAUUUGCAAAUCCAAAGGUUUUGGGAAAAUGAAGAAGACUUGUAGCUUUCUAGGGUCUCUAAUUAGGUUAUGGUGGUAGAAUAUAUUAUUUAGGGUUAAGAAGCUACAAGGAAAGGUUUCUAAAUAUUCAAGAGUUAAAGGUCAGGUUCUGUUUCGUUAUGAACAUUUUUCAACAAUAUGCAUGGAUUUUUGGUAUUUGAAUGGAAACUUCUAGGAAGGGCUGUGAGGGCCUCUUAGGGUUUGAAAUAAAUUUUCUAUUUCUAUGAUUCUAUGGGGAUGAAUUAAAUAGAAAUAAUGUUACCCUUUUUUUGAGGAAAAAUGAGGUUACCAAUUAACUUGAAUAUAUUUAGACUUGGAUCAACGGGUUCAACAUCAAAGAACAUAAAAAUGGGAUAGAAAGAUACCAUAUUAGAAAAAAAAUUGAAGGGAGGAGGAACUACCAAAAUUGACUUUAUUUUCCUUUCAACGAAAACAACUCAAAUACUAUGUACAAAUGUUAGUCUAUGUUAGCCACUAAUUAAAGAGAUAGAUAACUGAAUAAUGUUUUCUUAGUGAUGAAAGGACUUCACUAUUACUCAAACUAGCACUAAGACUCUUUAGUAUAAUUUGACUUAAGAAAAAUGCAUUUAUUUAAAACUGAAACUCCAGUAAGUUCAAACUGUAACAAGUUCUAAAUUGCGACCUUAUCAAUAAGAAAAAUUGAGAUCUUCAAAUCAGCAAGUGAGAUCCACUUAAUGAGGAGUUCAGCAUGUAUCUAGUCUCAUCUUCUUAGCUUGGAUAUUGCUCGAUCAAUUAAUUGUGUAUUUAGAGCUCAAUCAAUUAAUUGCUUCUAUGCUUCUUUCUAACCUCUAGCAAGCAUUUAACAUUGUUGAUCUAGUGCUGCUGCUUUUUGGCUCCAUUCCUUCCGCUGAUGUGUUUCAUGAGCCUUUCUCAAGAUUGAUUGAUGCAGUACAAGGAGAGGAUAACAGGUUCCCAACCAAAAUCCUGAUCAAGGGUUCAAAUCCUAUUUGAACACUAUUUUUGAACAUUUUUUGAAGGUAGCUGGUUCACCCACUUUUUAGCCACCCAGGUCACCGGUUUUUCCUGAAAACUGUUCAGAGUUAAUGAGUAGGUGUUGAAAGUUGAAUAGGUGUCUCCUGUAGAAGCCUCAUUUUUUCCGCAACUUCAUGAGCUUCAUGUAAUGAUCUGUUAUGUUGCACAUUGUUGUUACGACAAGAGCUCCUCCAGCAUAGCUGAUUGAUGGCUUCCUUGAUGCUUCUGCUUUCUUUGGCUGUUAUGGAAAGAUCGGAAUAAAAUGUUCUUUAAUCAAAAGCAGGAGACAUAUAGCAACAUUAUGUUGCAUACCCAGCCAUCAUAUGAUUAUAAGGGGACUCCUAAGCUAUACAGCUACCAUCAAGCGAGUCAAGAUAUGCUAGAAAGGCUACUGAUGAGCUGAAGCUUGUCUUUGAAAUCUGAUGUUUUGGUGUGGGAGCCUUUGGAUGUCAAGAAUCAUAACUGGGCCAGAUGGCAAUUCCGGUGUCCAAGAAGUUGGCUUUUCGAACUCUGAAUUUGGUUGGCCAUUCUGGAGUAGCAUUUAAUGCAGAAAAUCUGUUCUUUUGUGACAAUUUCAGAUGGCCAAGGUCAUGUAGUUGUGCAGUGGAUUGGUGGCAUGUAGAGCCAUUUACCUGGGGGCUUAGUAGGUAUACUAUGAUGCUGUGCAUUGGUUGUGUUAGUGUGUUUUUGAAUCUUGUGG